UGUUAUGUGAUUAUGUGAUAUUGGUGAAUUGGUUUGUCUGAGUACCUAUAAUUAUUUUUAAAUAUUAUGGGAUUAUUAUAUGAAUUUUAUGAAUUUGGUGUUAUCUGAUUUAUUGAAUUGACCGCUCUUAUGUGUUAGUAUUUGAGAGAUUUCAAUUUCUAUAUGCUCAGGAGAAAAUAUAGUUUAUUUGGAUAUUUUCAUAUCGAUUUAUGGAAUUUUAGAUGAUUUUAUAAUUGAUUUACGGAUUUAAUUGCGGAUAUUUAUAUUUAAUUAUUGAUCGGUUGAUUUCCGUAAAAUCGUCCCCUCGUAACGGUUUAGCGAUUUUUCUUCCCGAAAGUUUCAACAAAACUCACCUUUAGCCUAAUUUGAAUAUUCCGGACAUUUUUCGUGUUUUGACUUUUUCGAUCCGGAGUACGGUUUUCCCCGGAGUCGGUCCGGCGGAGUUUUUCGGGUAUUUUAAUUGUUGAUAAUUAUCUGGUUGUCUCGAUAAACGUGAAACUAGAUAUUUUGAUUCAUCCUUAUCUUGUAAUAAUUGCAGUGGGACCCGCAUACUAAUGACUGAUUAAAAAGCCCCGUUUUGAUGAUUAUCUUGAAAACCAGUACCGAUUGGACCCCGCUUUAUUAAUAUAAAGCUAUUAAAUACGUAUUUUCAUGUCAUAAACGAUCCAAAGGGGUACCAAUUAUUUGUAAAUAUAAAUAGACCUUUCUAGAGCUUAUUUUCACCGUAGAAAUCAUUUUCACCAGUUUCUCUGCACGAAUACCGAGAGAAACCGAGCGGUGUUCUUCGUGUUCUUCAUAAUCAAACGAAGAUUUGAAGGUGUUAUUGGAGUCAGAAUCAAGCGUGCGAAUAGUCAAAUCGAAGGUAUCGAAGAGUAGAACCUAUAUCUGCAAUCAAAAAACAACAUGAGAUUCACAGGUAAGGAGUAAUUGAAGUUUUAAAAUUCGAGUUAUUAAGAUUUAAAUAGUGGAUUUUUGAAAAUGUGAUUGUUUGACUAUUUUGAUGAUACCAUGUUGUAGUACGUGUUUUUCUCGUCGUUUUGGUAUAUUAUAUGUUUAAUUUGGGGUCCGGAAACGUAUAGAAAAAGCUGUUUGAUUCUUGAUGGAUGUUCUUGAAUUUCUGGGAAAUUGCUUGAAGCUUUUCAAUUCGUUUUGGGGAUUUUUAGUCCAUUGAUUCUGGGCGUAUGUUGAUAGCACCAUCAGGUAGAGCGAGUUGAGGGGAAUAAGUUUGUGUAUUUAGAUUGAAUGGAGGAGUUGUGGUUAAGCCUCGCCGGAGUUUUCAAGAAAUUCGGCGGCGGCAACUUCGAUCGGUUUUUCCAGCUGAUUGGCAAGCUUUUUGUUGAUUCUUAGAUCAUGAAUGGAUUUGUUGUAGUGUGUUUGAGGUAUCUGGAGCGUUUGGUAAAGAACGGUGGCCUGUACGGCCAUCUCCGGCGAGGUCGACGUCGGGGGGCGGCGGCCUGGCCAAAUUACAGUUUAGCCCCCCCAUGUUUUGGAAAUGAUGAAGUUCAGUCCUUGGACUUUUCGUUUUUGUAAAUCAAACCUCCGGCUUUCGAGUUUUACAAAACUAACCCCCAGUUUUCUAAACUUUCAAAUCAGCCCCUGUUUAAGUUUCCAAAGUUUAUAUUUUAAACCUUGGACUUUUAAAGACUUUCAAAAGUUUACAAAAUAAACCUUUUGAUUUAAUUUUCUAAAAUUGUUUUAUUUAAUUAUUUUAAAUUCCAAAAUAUAGUUUUUAAUUAUUUGUUUAUUCAAAAAUAAAUCUAAAUUAGUUUAUUAAUUACUUUUAAUUAGUAAUUAAUUAUUGUAAUUGGUCAAUUAAUUUAAAAGUUAAUUGAUUAAUUAUUUUAAUUAAUUAUUAAUUGAUUUUAAUUGGUUAAUUAAUUGGAUUUAAUUAUCCUUUUUGAUUUAAAAAUUCCGAAAAAUGGUUUCGAGCUUUAAAAUAUUUUUCCAAAUUAUUUUCAAGGCUCGAUAAUUGGUUAUGAAUGAUUUCAAGUCCAAUUUCAAGUAUUUGGGACUUGAUUAUUUAUCCGAAAAGUGAUUCUUUUAUCGAUUUUAAUUCCGAAAAAUGUUUAAAAAUUCUGGAAAAUUCCCGAAAAAUCAUUUUAAACCCGAGACUCGAUUUGACAUUAGUCGGGAUGGGAAAUCUUAUGUGUUAUGUGAUGUGUGUUAUUAGAGUGAUGUAUUAUGUGUUGAUAGAGGAAGUAGGAAACAAUUUGGAUCAUAUCUUUUGAUCCGUAAGCCGAAAUCGAGUGAAACGAAAGAGAGAUGAAAGCUCAUGGAGUCUAUUUUAAUAUGGCAAGAUAAUAUGAUCGAGUCUAGAAGGUGACUAUACGUUGUUUAAUAUGCACAAUGUGAUUAUAUGUUAUUUGAUUGCUAUUAAUUGAUGACUACGUGAUAUACAUGUUUAUUCAUGAUAGUAUAUGCGUGUGAUAAAUGAUUUGGAUGACAUAGUGUCGUGAGUUGAUUGAUAUUGGAUAAGAAUAUAUGGAUUAUAGUGAUUGGAUCUUGUUGGUUGAUUGUUGAUUGAGAUAGGAUAACAGGUGGAUAGUCUAAUAAAUAGACGAGACGAUGUCGGAUUUUCGAUAGGAUUCAUAUGAUAAUUGAUUGGUAAUAUGUUAUGUGGAAUAUGACUUGACUAUAUAUUAGAGUCAAAGCAUGAUUAUGUGUUAAGUGAUAUGUGAUAGGUUUAAAGGGGUAUAUAAGUGGGUAUCGAUAUACGUGAUAUGUAUAUGCGAUAUAUUGUUUAGUGACUAUAGUAUUAUCUUAUUCUCGUAAAGGAUUUGGACGAGACGUGUACGCUCGAAGACGUCAGAAAGUCGGAAUGGUAUUGCAAAGCGAAUAAGGGAUGAAUCGAGUAAGCGAAGCGAUGUGGCGAAUAGAGUAUAGCUAGAGAUGGUCUAGAGAUUACGAGAUGCAUAGAUUGUGAAAGUUGAAAGAUGAGAUAGAGAUGUGAGACUGGAGUCAGAUUUAAGGCAAGUAUCCUAAACCUUUCCCUUGGAUAUAUUGCAAAUAUUCUGAUCCAUUCCUUUGGUAUAUGUUUCAAGUAUUCAUACCUUUCUUUUCAAUGUUCGAAAGUGCGAGUAUUCUGAACCAUUCUUUCUAAUCUUCAAGUUUCUAAAGAAUUUCCGUUUUACAAAUUAAUUCGAAGUUCAGAUUGUCAUUGAAGCAUGUGUUGCUCAGUGAUAGUUAGAGCUUUGAAUGAAUUGGGAUCUUCUUGAUUAUUCAACCCGCCAUUGUCAUGCUGGUUUAGCAGGCUAAAUUCAGUUGCUUAGCCGAUAAUGGAGGAUACUGAAUAGUUGAGGAUUUCCUGAACUGUGAUUUAUGAAAUGAUGGAUCAUGAUUUAUGAAUAGAUUAUUAUCAAAGUUUGAAUUGGAAUUAUUCUGUUGUUGAUGAUAUUUAUGAUGAUGUUCUGUUAAUUUACAUUGGCUUCUUGAAUUGAAUUAGAGAAUUGGAUUAUUGUUUUUAUAUAAACCUGUGGACCAGAUUCGUGGUCAUGUUAGGCCAAUGAGUGCCUUGGAUCCAGUGAUAGAGCAUGGCGGGGCCUGCUCGGGGUUAGUGCGGAACUGAUCAGCUGCCUAACCUUGGUUUUAAUUAAAAUGUGAUAGUCCAAUUCAAUAAUUCUUUUGGAAAGAUUGAAUUCCUCAGUAUUCAAUUGCUGCAAGGUAUUGUGGUGUUCUUAUACAAUACCUAAACUCGUGAACUCAGGUUGAACCCUUUUAUAUCUUGAACUCGUGAAAUUCUAUUAUAUCAUUUCAGAACUAUCAUUGUUUAUUAUUACUUGCUGAGCAUUGUUGCUCACCCUUGCUAUUCCUUUCUAACCAUUUCAGAAAGGCUUAAAGAUGAGAUGAUUGAUUGAGAUUGUGAGUAAGGCUAAUGCUAGGCGAGGAGACAGAGUUGAGGAUCCAGUGGUCGAGGAGUGUUCAGGAAAGUUGAUGAGGUUGGUGCAAGCUGGAAUAGUUGACAGUGAUUCUUCUUAUCGAAGAUGAUCUGAUUUGGUAAGAGAUGUUGUGUAAUAAUAGUGGUAGAUUCUAAUUUCAAUACUGUAACCUGGAUGCGAUCCUGUUGCUUUUAGGGGGUUUAAAUGUUCUCUUUCGAAUCAUUUAUUAAAGUUUAAAUGUUCUCUUGAAAUUAUCCUAUUAUGGCUUUCAAGAUUGAAAUUCAGGUUUUGAAAUCAUUCGAUUUAUGUUCUCAUUCAAAUCUUUUAUUAAAUGUUUUCACGUUUUAAAUUCUUUUGGAUUUUCAUUAUCAUUUAAAAAAAAAAAAUACAGGUUUUCAAAAGUGUUUAAAAAUGGGUUUUAUGUGGUGACGUCAGAAUCCAGGCCCCCGGAUUCUCGGACCGUCACAGUUGGUAUCAGAGCAACAGGUUAUAAGUAUUUGAAAUUAGAAUAUAGAUCAUAGUUAUAGGUUUUCUAGAGAAGAAUGUGGUGUAACCUCACAUAGAGGUAUGGUCGGACUAUUUAGGAAUAGUCUAGAGAUGUGAGUGAAGCAUAGAGUUUAGUUAGAUGAUCAAGUUAAUUGUGGAUAUCUAAAGAGAUUAGGAUUCUUAAGUUUAGACAUAUGAUUUCUAGUAUGUUGAUUAAUUGAGAUGGUGAAUUAUGGGAAAGGUCAGUAUUAGACCUAUAUAGAAGAGUUUGAUAGUGAAUGAUUGAGUUGAGAAUGGUGAAAAUGCAGAGUUCAGAGUAUUCUGACUAUACUGCAUAUUUGAAAUUGGAUUAUUGUAUUGAUUUGAGGAUGAUAUAAAUGCAUGGUUCAUAGUAUGUUGACCAUGUCAGAUAUUUGGAAGAUGUAUAUUGUUUUGAGUGAAGAUAUGAAGAGUAAGUGUAGAGUAUGAGUUGUAUUGGAUUAGAAGGAGAGAUUGGUAGAUAGAGGUUGAUAGGUGAGAAGUGAAUGAUAGAGAGUACGUGGAAUUGAGUCCAGUUAUUAGAGAUGAUGUCUACGAGUAAGUUAGAACGUUAGUCCUCGACGACAACGCUUCGAGCUAAUCGGGAUUUCAAAUGGCAUCAAGGUGGGCCCAUAACCCACAGGUUGAUGAUCCAGACAAUCGAAGAUACGUUACGUGUUUGUGCUAUGGAUUUCAAAGGCAACUGGGAUAAAGUAGAAGAAUGUAAACUACAUGGGCCAGAGUUAUUACGGACGAUAACGUCUACGAUGAUAUUUUACGAGGCUAAUACGAGUCAAAUCGAUUGAUUAUCGGGAACGUUGAGAAGAAGACUUACGUCGAACAACGAUUUAUUGAAGUAGAGUCGAAAUCUGAGAAGACCUUGGCAAUACCUCUCUUCAACUAAAGAUUCUUUUGAUUGUUUUCUCAUCAGUGAGAUAUUAUUAUGAUAUCUUUUCUACAAAAGUUUUGAUAAAUGAGAUCUUCAAUUUCUCAAAUUCUAAGAUGACAUUGAUAUUGAUGAUUGGUAUGAGUUGGAAGACAAAGAUGUGUGAUAAAGGAUUGUUGUGAAGAGACAGUGAUGUUCUUUGAUAUUGUUUGACAUUUCUUGACAGUCCUUGAUAUUAUUUCAUCUUCUUGGAUAUCCCAUGAUGUUCUUUGAUAUUUUGAUAUCCGUUGAUAUUCGUUGAUAUUCUUUGACAUUCUUUGAUAUUCCUUGAUAUCUUUUCGAUGUUCCUUAAAAUAUUCCUCGAUAAUCCUUAACAUUUCUUGAUGCUCUUUGAGAUUUCUUGGAUUCUUUCCAUUUGAUUGGGAUGAACAACUCUAUUUAUAGGGGACACAAGGUAUACCUGUCUGUGUGAUAGGAGUUGGAUGGGACGCCAUCACUUGUGUGUGUUGUGAUUACAAGAAGGUUAACAACCUUUAGUAGUGUCUAAUAUAGACACGCAACAUUAAGUUCAUUUGAUCGUAUUGAUCUCCCAGUCACUCUUGUAUUCCAAUGUGACCUACUUUGAAAGCAUUUUGUUCCUCCAAAAUUCCCAAAGAUUGAUUCUUGGGAAAACGAAUUUGGCAAUUGUGAAAGUUUUGAUUCUCCUGUAUUUUUAAAAGCUAAAGGUAUGCCAAGGUUGAUCAAAAGAUGGAUGACGAUACGAUAUUACGAAGUGUGUACGGUUUCGUUUUCUUCGGGGGGUUCCGAGGACGGAAUCCUUAUAAGGGGGUAGAAUGUAAUAUCCCAUAUUUUUUAAAUUUAGACUUGAUUGUUAUAAAUCUAUCUGUCUAAAUAUUAUUGUUGGCUUUAGUUGAGAAGUGAAUUGAUUAUGUGAAUAGCUUUAUAUGAUUAUACCUGUUUUGUGGAUUAAUAUGGAUUUUACAAAUAUUGCAUCCUCCUUCUUUCUCUGAUUCCGAGGACGGAAUCCCUAUAAGGAGGGUAGAUUGUAAUGACCCGGAUUUUUUAAAAAUAUUUUUAUUAGUAUUAAAAGUGAUUUUUCUUUAAAGAAGGGAAUAAGAUUUAAUAUUUUAUUCCAGUUUAAGGAGUUUUCAAAAUUUUAUACUAAACCCCGGGUUAUUGUGUUAUUGAUAAAUGAUUAUAUUUUUAAAACUGAUUUUCAUAUAUUGUUUCGAAAAUUCUAGAUGAUUAUUAUGUGAAUAUAUGUGUGAUGUGAGUAAGUGGUAUUGGUGGAUUUGUUGGUUAAUUAAUUAUGGUUAAUUAUGAGUAUUAUAUGAUUAAUAUAUGAAUUUUUGUGAAUUUUAUAUUAUCUGGUUUAUUGCGUUAACUGCUCAUAUGUGUUCGUAUUUGAGAGAUUUCAAUUUCUAUAUGCUCAGGAGAAAAUAUAGUUUAUUUGGAUAUUUUCAUAUCGAUUUAUGGAAUGUUAGAUGAUUUUAUAAUCGAUUUACGGAUUUAAUUGCGUAUAUUUAUAUUUAAUUAUUAAUUAUUUGACUUCCGUAAAACCGUCCACUCGUAACGAGGUAGCAAAUUUUCUUCCCGGAAGUUUCAACAAAACUGACCUUUAGCCUAAUUUGAAUAUUCCGGACACUUUUCGUGUUUUGACUUUUUCGAUCCGGAGUACGGUUUUCCCCGGAGUCGGUCCGGCGGAGUUUUUCGGGUAUUUUAAUUGUUGAUAAUUAUCCAGUUUGUCUCGAUAAACGUGAAACGAGAUAUUUUGAUUAUUAUAUUAAUUCUUAUCUUGUAAUAAUUGCAAUGGGACCCGCAUACUAAUGACUGAUUAAAAAGCCCCGUUUUGAUGAUUAUCUUGAAAACCAGUACCGAUUGGACCCCGCUUUAUUAAUAUAAAGCUAUUAAAUACGUAUUUUCAUGUCAUAAACGAUCCAAAGGGGUACCAAUUAUUUGUAAAUAUAAAUAGACCUUUCUAGAGCUUAUUUUCACCCGUAAAAUCAUUUCACCAGUUUCUUUGCACGAAUACCGAGAGAAACCGAGCGGUGUUCUUCGUGUUCUUCAUAAUCAAACGAAGAUUUGAAGGUGUUAUUGGAGUCAGAAUCAAGCGUGCAAAUAGUCAAAUCGAAGAUAUCGAAGAGUAGAACCCAAAUCAAUCAUCAAAAACAACAUGAGAUUCACAGGUAGGGAGUAAUUGAAGUUUUAAAAUUCGAAUUAUUAUGAUUUAAAUAGUGAAUUUUUGCAAACGUGUUUGUUUGAUUGUUUGGAUGAUUCCAUGUUGUAGAACGUGUUUUUCUCGUCGUUUUGGUAUAUUAUAUGUUGAAU
rnacentral:lncRNA from 1 species